AUCUCAGAUCUCCUUUGCCAUCUCCUUUGCCAAAGCGAUGUCCCGGUCUUAGGGAGAUUUGUCGGCGCCGCAAAGAAGAUUUGUCGCCGCCGCAAAGCAGGAUGACGACUGUA
rnacentral:sRNA from 1 species